rnacentral:lncRNA from 1 species
AGCACAUCAGAUAGUACCUGUUGAUUUUGCAUAGAGAAGGUAUAAGUAAAGCAACAUUUCAUAGGGUCACUUAUAAUCUUCUAAAAUGAUACAUUCAUUAUAUCGAAAAGGGUACAUUCAGCCUUGUAGUUCUCAUUUUAAAAAAUAGAUAUUUUAUUUACUACAUUAUCACAUUAGUUAAGAGGUGAAGUACUUGAAUAACGUGCUAUCAGAGGAAACAUUUUUGAUGACUAUCACUGUUUUGACAUUGCAAUAAGAACUGUUAUAUAAAACUAAGGCACAGGCUCAUCCUGAAUGCUUGGAGCUAAUUCAUCAUCAACGGUAAACACUCAAAAAACAAAUAAAUACAACUAAAAGGGCAAGACCAAGUCUUCUGAUAAAUUUUACCAGUAACUUCAGAGAUAAAAGAAUUCAUCAGUAACUUUUGACAUUAUAAGUAAGGGGCACUGAGUUUCCAAAAACAAGCGGAUAUAGUUUCACUGUGUCUCAUCCAAAUUUCAUUUUAAAUUGCCACGUGUUGUCCGAGGGACCCAGUGGGAGGUAAUUGAAUCAUGGGGGCAGGUCUUUCCCAUGCUGUUCUCGUGAUAGUGAAUAAGUUUUUUGAGAUGUGUUAGUUUUUUUUUUUUUUUUUUUUUUUUUUUUUUGAGACAUUGUCUCGCUGUUGCCCAGGCUGGAGUGCAGUGGCGCGAUCUCGGCUCACUGCAGGCUCCGCCCCCCGGGGUUCACGCCAUUCUCCUGCCUCAGCUUCCCGAGUAGCUGGGACUACAGGCGCCCACCACCUCGCCCGGCUAGUUUUUUGUAUUUUUAGUAGAGACGGGGUUUCACCGUGUUAGCCAGGAUGGUCUCGAUCUCCUGACCUCGUGAUCCGCCCGCCUCGGCCUGAUGUGUUGGUUUUAUAAGGGGGAGUUUCUCUGCACAAGCUGUCUCUCUUUGCCUGCCGCCAUCCGCGUAGUAAACGUGACUUGAUCCUCCUUGCCUUCCGCCAUGAUUUUAAGGCCUCCCCAGCCACAUGGAACAGCAACAGAGGAAACUUGAAAUCUGUAAGUGUCAUAAAAAUUGCAAGUACUGUUGACUCAGAUGUACUGAGAGGUUCACAUUAUCACUGCCAACUCUGCUACGUUGCCUACAAAGGAAUCCACACACCAACACUGGUCAGAAGACUUUCACUGGAGAUAUCCCUCCCUAUGCCUGGAAGAAAGGAAUAUUCUUAUCUCUGAAGACAUUGGGAAACACAAUAAUAGCUGAAAAACAGGCCUUGCUAACUUCUCUCCAGUUUAUUAUUAGAUGAUACAUUUUUAUCCAAUCAUAUUUCUCCAUCACUACCCACUUCUCCAUCAGAACUAGCCUUAAAAUGCAUAGGUUUACAUAUUUUUUAGUCUUCAUUUCCACAGUUCCCUUGUCACACUAAAACUAUAUUAAGUAAAUUUAUAUGUUUUUCUCUUGUCCAUUUGUCUUUUGUUAUAGGGGCUCAAC